rnacentral:rRNA from 1 species
GUCCACGCCCUAAACGAUGAACACUAGUCGUCGCGAUGCUUGUCAUUGCGGUGAUGCACUUAACAGAUUAAGUGUUCCGCCUGGGGAGUACGGUCGCAAGAUUAAAACUCAAAGGAAUAGACGGGGACCCGCACAAGUGGUGGAGCAUGUGGUUUAAUUCGAAGAUACGCGAAAACCUUACCUAGCCUUGACAUUGAUAGAAUACUGUAGAGAUACGGUAGUGCCCUUCGGGGAGCUUGAAAACAGGUGCUGCACGGCUGUCGU